rnacentral:lncRNA from 1 species
UUGGUUUUGAACUCCUGGACUCAAGCAUCCUCCGGCCUUGGCCUCCCAGUGUUGGGAUUGCAGGUAUGAGCUGCCGUGCCUGGCUGGAUUGCAUUUUAGUAUAUUUGUCACAUCUUGUUCUUCAAAAUCUCCUGGUUCUAGAUGAAAUAGCACAAAAACUGGCAUCAGAAAGUGAAGUGGUCUGAAGAAUCCAGACACAGAACUCCUGCACUUCUUCAUCAAACAUGGAUGCCACCUUGGACUAGGAGGAUGAACCUGCCUGGGCGUGCCACAGUGGUGGGCCACCAACAGUGUAAAACAGGCUACAGUAACCAAAACAGCACGGUACUGGUACAAAAACAGACAUAUAGACCAAUGGAACAGAACAGAGAGCUCAGAAAUAACACAGAAAUAGCAUCACACAUCUACAACCAUCUGAUCUUCAACAAACCUGACAAAAACAAGGAAUGGAGAAAGGAUCUCCUAUUCAAGAAAUGGUGCUGGGAAAACUGACUAGCCAUAUGCAGGAAACUGAAACUGGACCCCUUCCUUAUACCUUAUACAAACAUUAACUCAAGAUGGAUUAAAGACUUAAAGGUAAAACCCAAAACCAUAAAAAUCCUAGAAGAAAAGCUAGGCAAUACUAUUCAGGACAUAGGCAUGGGCAAAGACUUCAUGACGAAAAUGCCAAAAGCAAUUGCAAAAAAGCCAAAAUUGACAAAUGGGACCUAAUUAAACUAAAGAGCGUCUGCACAGCAAAAACAAACAAACAAACAAACAAACAAACAAACAAACAAACAAACUAUCAUCAGAGUGAACAGGCAACCUACUGAAUGGGAGAAAAUUUUUGUAAUCUACCCAUCUGACAAAGGUCUACUACCCAGAAUUUACAACGAACUUAAAACAAAUUUAUAAGAAAAAAAACAAACGACUCCAUCAAAAAGUGGGCAAAGAAUAUGAACAGAUACUUCUCAAAAGAAGACAUCUACAUGGCCAACAACCAUAUGAAAAAAAGCCCAAUAUCACUGAUUAUUAGAGAAAUGCAAAUCAAAAUCACAAUGAGAUAGCAUCUCACACCAGUCAGAAUGGCGAUUAUUAAAAAGUCAAGAAACAAUAGAUGCUGGCAAGGCUGUGUAGAAAUAGAAACACUUUUACACUGUCGGUGGGAAUGUAAAUUAGUUCAACAGUUGUGGAAGACAGUGUGGUGAUUCCUCAAGGAUCUAGAACCAGAAAUACCAUUUGACCCAGCAAUCCCAUUACUGGGUAUAUACCCAAAGGAUUAUAAAUCAUUCUACUAUAAAGACACAUGCACAUAUGUUUAUUGCAGCACUCUUCACAAUAGCAAAGACUUGGAACCAACCAAAAUGCCUAUCAAUGAUAGACUGGAUAAAGAAAAUGUGGCACAUAAACACCAGGGAAUACUAUGCAACCAUAAAAAAGGAUGAGUUCAUGUCCUUUGCAGGGACGUGGAUGAAGCUGGAAGUCAUCAUCCUCAGCAAACUAACACAGGAACAGAAAACCAACACUGCAUGUUCUCACUCAUAAAUGGGAGUUGAACAAUGAGAACACAUGGACACAGGGAGGGAAACAACACACACCAGGGCAUGUUGGGGGAUGGGGAGUGAGGGGAGAGAACUUAGAGGACAGGUCAAUAGGUGCAGCAAAUCACCAUGGCACAUGUAUAUCUAUGUAACAAACCUGCAUGUUCUGCACAUGUAUCCCAGAAAUUAAAGUAAGAUUAAAAAUCAAUCAAUCAAUCAAUCAAGUCCAAAUUCAUCCUUUAGCAUGUGGAUAUUCAGUUGUCCCAACACCAUUUGUUAAGACUGUCUUUU